GGGGGGAUGAAAUGCGGUAAAUGAGAGUAAAAUCCGGUGGUUGCAGUUUUUAAUGAUUUGCACAGAUACCAAAAUGCCCUUAUUCUAUUUAAAAUGUAAUUUCGAACAAUAUUUGUGGUAAUUAAAAUUGGGCAGCGGAUUUAUUUUAAACCGCACGAUUAAGCGGUUUUAAGGGCUAAGAUUUAUUCUCUAUUCUCUAUACAUAGGGUAUU
rnacentral:lncRNA from 1 species